rnacentral:rRNA from 5 species
CCUGGCGGCCUUAGCGCGGUGGUCCCACCUGACCCCAUGCCGAACUCAGAAGUGAAACGCCGUAGCGCCGAUGGUAGUGUGGGGU